rnacentral:rRNA from 1 species
GAGUUUGAUCCUGGCUCAGGAUGAACGCUAGCUACAGGCUUAACACAUGCAAGUCGAGGGGCAGCAUGACGAUAGCUUGCUAUUGUUGAUGGCGACCGGCGCACGGGUGAGUAACGCGUAUCCAACCUUCCCAUAGCUAGGGAAUAACCUUGCGAAAGUAAGACUAAUGCCCUAUAACAUUCUUUGCAGACAUCUAAAGAGAAUUAAAGAUUUAUCGGCUAUGGAUGGGGAUGCGUCUGAUUAGGUUGUUGGCGGGGUAACGGCCCACCAAGCCCACGAUCAGUAGGGGUUCUGAGAGGAAGGUCCCCCACAUUGGAACUGAGACACGGUCCAAACUCCUACGGGAGGCAGCAGUGAGGAAUAUUGGUCAAUGGACGAAAGUCUGAACCAGCCAAGUAGCGUGCAGGACGACGGCCCUAUGGGUUGUAAACUGCUUUUAUAUGGGAAUAAAGUGAGCGACGUGUCGUCUUUUGUAGGUACCAUAUGAAUAAGGACCGGCUAAUUCCGUGCCAGCAGCCGCGGUAAUACGGAAGGUCCAGGCGUUAUCCGGAUUUAUUGGGUUUAAAGGGAGCGUACGCCGUUUUUUAAGCGUGUGUGAAAUACUGUCGCUCACGACAGAGGGUGCAGCGCGAACUGGGAGGACUUGAGUGCGCGGAAUGUAGGCGGAAUUCGUCGUGUAGCGGUGAAAUGCUUAGAUAUGACGAAGAACUCCGAUUGCGAAGGCAGCUUACAGUAGCGUAACUGACGCUGAAGCUCGAAAGUGCGGGUAUCGAACAGGAUUAGAUACCCUGGUAGUCCGCACGGUAAACGAUGGAUGCUCGCUGUGUGCUUUUGGGUACGCGGCCAAGCGAAAGCGUUAAGCAUCCCACCCGGGGAGUACGCCGGCAACGGUGAAACUCAAAGGAAUUGACGGGGGCCCGCACAAGCGGAGGAACAUGUGGUUUAAUUCGAUGAUACGCGAGGAACCUUACCCGGGCUUGAAUUGCAGAGGAAGGAUUUAGAGAUAAUGACGCCCUUCGGGGCCUCUGUGAAGGUGCUGCAUGGUUGUCGUCAGCUCGUGCCGUGAGGUGUCGGCUUAAGUGCCAUAACGAGCGCAACCCCUCUCCGUAGUUGCCAUCAGGUAGUGCUGGGCACUCUGCGGACACUGCCGCCGUAAGGUGUGAGGAAGGUGGGGAUGACGUCAAAUCAGCACGGCCCUUACGUCCGGGGCUACACACGUGUUACAAUGGGUCAUACAGAGUGUUGUGCGUAUGCAAAUACGUUCUAAUCAUUAAAAUGAUCCUCAGUUCGGAUUGGGGUCUGCAACCCGACCCCAUGAAGCUGGAUUCGCUAGUAAUCGCGCAUCAGCCAUGGCGCGGUGAAUACGUUCCCGGGCCUUGUACACACCGCCCGUC